rnacentral:rRNA from 1 species
CAGUAGCCACGGUAAUACGAAGGGUGCAAACGUUGCUCGGAAUUAUUGGGCGUAAAGAGCUCGUAGGCGGUUUGUCGCGUCUGCCGUGAAAGUCCGGGGCUCAACCCCGGAUCUGCGGUGGGUACGGGCAGACUAGAGUGAUGUAGGGGAGACUGGAAUUCCUGGUGCAGCGGUGAAAUGCGCAGAUAUCAGGAGGAACACCGAUGGCGAAGGCAGGUCUCUGGGCAUUAACUGACGCUGAGGAGCGAAAGCAUGGGGAGCGAACAGGAUUAGAUACCCGGGUAGUCCCUGUCUCUUAUAC